UUUGUCAUUUAUCAUUAAUUAAACUCAGCUUUAUAUUCAGUCUAAAUUAGUCUUUAUUCAGAAAAUUGUUAAAGCGGCUUAAUCUUUUUUCU